rnacentral:rRNA from 1 species
AUGGGGAAUGUGGAGCAACACUUGGGAAAUACAGCGCCAACAACCUUGUUGCAUUACCAGUUGAGUGAUAUGUGGAGGAGUCCUAGGGGAACAGUGCUUCGUAUCGAGGGAUUAGCACUGGUGGCAAUCGCUUGCUCCUUCUUCCUUGCUGCCUUUGGGUCUUGUCGCCGUUGGUCCAAUCGUUGGAUUAUCCAAAAGGGUUUCUUGGUUGCACAAGUACUAUCUUUGUCCCUUGGGACUUACAGCAUUGGCCUAAUGCAGUCUUCGUCGGUGAAGAGCGAGAUGUAUCCUAUAUGGGCUGUGUCCUUAUUCACACUAUUGGGCUGCGUGGACCCAGUCACCACCUACAUCGGCCUUGAAUACAAGGGUCCACUCUUCAAGAUGACAUUUCAGCUUUGCCUCUAUUGUGGAUAUGUCCUGCUGAUGAGUGUCUCAACCAUCUCCCGUGGUGUUGGUAAAUUAGCCAUUGAUGUGUUGUCUGCUAUCACCUUCAUCAAGGGCAUUCAUAUGUCAUUGGCGCUUGUCCAGCCAAGCAGAACGAGGGACCAAUUAGCAGAGUUUGUUUAUAGUAGAGAACCCGGGGCUUUAGCUGCACGUAAUAAGGGUUUGGGGCUUGAAGUCCAUUUACCGUUUCCCCGUGUAGAGAUAAAAGAGGGCCAUAUUAAAAAGUCACGUAUUAAAACUAGCAUGGAUGACGUGCGUUUCAGCUGCAAGCAAAUGGUGUUUACGCUACAGUUGGAAGAUGGCACUGCCAAUAACAUUGAAGAUGUGUGCCUUGGCUACUCUCUGUCUCAUUUGUUACAACGGCAUUUCCUUGGGUUGGACACCUCUAGGGAAAUGGAGUCCAAAAUUGAGGAAUUUGAAAGGAUUACAUUGGGGGCUAUUGACUAUAAGAGGACCUUGAAGGCGAUUGAGGUUGAGUUGGCUUUUCUGUAUGAGAUCUUUUACACCAGCAAUGGGUUUCUUCACUACGACGAAGCAAAAACGUCAAGCUUCUGGGCAUUCGCUUCAUUCAUUGGGAUAUGUUUUGUUGGGGUAGCGACUGCCAUUCCUGGGGCAAUGUCCAGCCACCACAGUAUUACAGGCUCUAAUAAUAGUCCUGGUGCUAGCACUAUCGUUGUUAACACCACAACAGCUGACCUGAUCAUUACUCUUGUCAUAUUGGUGUCUCUGGCUCUGCUGCAAUUGGUGCGGCUGAUACGGUGCUGGACGUCAAAUUGGGCACGAGUCGCCUUUGCCUGUGAAUAUGCCAGGAGAUACUACAAUCAACUGUUGAGGCAAGCAGCAGCAGCCGCGGAUCCAGAACAACUCAAUUGGUGGGUGAGAUUGAAAGCGUUUGUGGUUACCAGGAUGAAUUGGUUUGACAAGUACCUCUGGCAAGAUAAGCUCGGGCAGUAUUCGCUAGUUGAUGAGGCGGCAAGGAGGAUGAGGGAAACAUGGUACCUUUCUGCUGGAAAUGUCAUCCUCACAACUUGUCUGGGAGGUGAAGUAGGCACUAAACGAUGGCGCUGCGCUAUCUUAGUAAUUGAAGCUCUUGCAGUGCCAGUAUACUGGACAUGCCAUCGCUUUUCUAGGAUGCUUGGAUUGCAGUACAUUGGACGGGUGCUCCGGGAAUUGUUGGCCCAUGAUACCAACACAGCCGUCAUGCUGCACAGUGAUGUGAAGGCAUCCAUCGCCGAUUUCCUGGGCAAGAUCAAGAGC